GAGGAAAAGAAACCAACUGGGAUUACCUUAGUAACGGCGAGUGAAGCGGUAAAAGCUCAAAUUUGAAAUCUGGUACUUUCAGUGCCCGAGUUGUAAUUUGUAGAAUUUGUCUUUGAUUAGGUCCUUGUCUAUGUUCCUUGGAACAGGACGUCAUAGAGGGUGAGAAUCCCGUUUGGCGAGGAUACCUUUUCUCUGUAAGACUUUUUCGAAGAGUCGAGUUGUUUGGGAAUGCAGCUCAAAGUGGGUGGUAAAUUCCAUCUAAAGCUAAAUAUUGGCGAGAGACCGAUAGCGAACAAGUACAGUGAUGGAAAGAUGAAAAGAACUUUGAAAAGAGAGUGAAAAAGUACGUGAAAUUGUUGAAAGGGAAGGGCAUUUGAUCAGACAUGGUGUUUUUUGCAUGCACUCGCCUCUCGUGGGCUUGGGCCUCUCAAAAAUUUCACUGGGCCAACAUCAAUUCUGGCAGCAGGAUAAAUCAUUAAGAAUGUAGCUACUUCGGUAGUGUUAUAGCUUUUUGGAAUACUGUUAGCCGGGAUUGAGGACUGCGCUUCGGCAAGGAUGUUGGC
rnacentral:rRNA from 1 species